GACAAGAACUGAUUCUUCUGU
rnacentral:siRNA from 1 species